rnacentral:rRNA from 1 species
UACGGGGGGGGCAAGCGUUGUUCGGAAUUACUGGGCGUAAAGGGCUCGUAGGCGGCCAACUAAGUCGGAUGUGAAAUCCCCGGGCUCAACCUGGGAACUGCAUCCGAAACUGCCUUGCUAGAGUAUGGGAGAGGGAAGUGGAAUUCCCGGUGUAGCGGUGAAAUGCGUAGAUAUCGGAAGGAACAUCAGUGGCGAAGGCGACUUCCUGGACCAAUACUGACGCUCAGGUGCGAAAGCGUGGGGAGCAAACAGG